UGCUUUGGUGUCAAACUAUCUGAAUUUCUAAUUUAGGAUUAGAAAAUUUUUGGGCACAGUCAAGUACUUGUGAAGUCGGUGCAUGAGUCAAGAUGGAAUUGACCACUCCAAGGGAUUGGAGAGAAUGCUUUGUAUUUCAAUUUAGUAAGACCUUGGUCAGGGCAGUCCUUAUGAGGAGUUAUAGGAUUUAUUAGGUUAAAAUACAUAAUAAAUAUAUUGUUAACAGUUGACAGUUUAAACUCUAAGUCAUUCUAGCAUCAA
rnacentral:lncRNA from 1 species